UGCACGGUGGGGCAGUUGGUAGCACCGUUGGCUUGCAGCAGAAGGUCCUGGGUUCGAUUACCAGCCGGGGGCCUUUCUGCAU